GGAAAUAACAUGGUUUCUCGUUCUAGUGUGGCCUCUUUCUUUCUCUUUCUUCCUACUUUCUUCCAUUUGUUCUCCCUUUCUUUAUUAUUUCUUUGUUAGCAUCAAAAUGUUAUGAAAACAGUUUAUUUGAAAGACAACCAAAAAUAAAUUUUAUCUUUUCCAGCUUUCUUUUUUGAUUUCUGUAACUCAACUUUGCUUUCUCCUUCUUCUAAGGCUAAAUUUUGAUCCACUUUUUUCAAAAUCCAAAAUACCAGAUCAGUUCAACUUCUAAAAUCACCUAAUCUACGGAUCUACAAUCUUCUCAACGAUCCACCGCCAUACCUCUUCUCUGUUUCUUCCUAUUUCUUUCUUCUGCUCUGUUUCUUC
rnacentral:lncRNA from 1 species